CUACGGGGCGCAGCAGUGAGGAAUAUUGGUCAAUGGGCGCGAGCCUGAACCAGCCAUCCCGCGUGCAGGAUGACGGCCCUAUGGGUUGUAAACUGCUUUUCUAUGCCAAGAAACCUGAUUACGUGUAAUCAGUUGCCGGUAGCAUAGGAAUAAGCAUCGGCUAACUCCGUGCCAGCAGCCGCGGUAAUACGGAGGAUGCAAGCGUUAUCCGGAUUCAUUGGGUUUAAAGGGUGCGCAGGGGGGCUUGUAAGUCAGUGGUGAAAUGCUGCCGCUUAACGGUAGAACUGCCAUUGAUACUGCGAGUCUUGAGUAUGGUUGAGGGAGGCGGAAUGUGUUGUGUAGCGGUGAAAUGCAUAGAUAUGACACAGAACGCCAAUUGCGAAGGCAGCUUACUAAGCCAUUACUGACGCUGAGGCACGAAAGCGUGGGGAGCGAACAGGAUUAGAUACCCCAGUAGUC
rnacentral:rRNA from 1 species